rnacentral:rRNA from 1 species
UACGUAGGGUGCAAGCGUUAAUCGGAAUUACUGGGCGUAAAGCGUGCGCAGGCGGUUUUGUAAGUCUGUCGUGAAAUCCCCGGGCUCAACCUGGGAAUGGCGAUGGAGACUGCAGGGCUAGAAUCUGGCAGAGGGGGGUAGAAUUCCACGUGUAGCAGUGAAAUGCGUAGAUAUGUGGAGGAACACCGAUGGCGAAGGCAGCCCCCUGGGCUAAGAUUGACGCUCAUGCACGAAAGCGUGGGGAGCAAACAGG